CUCACAAUCCCUUGGGGGUAUUCAUGGGAUACUUUUUAUUUUUUUCUUGUUUUGAGUGAAUUAUUAGUAAAGGAAGCAUAUGACUGUCAAGAUACCCUAAACUUAACCUAACAUAACCUAUCAAAACCCAAUACAGUUACUAAAGCUCUAGACUCAGAAAACUCAAAUAUGCUUCCUUGCUAAUGAGACUUUCUAUACAACAAAGUGAGGUUAUUCAUUGUUGAUUUAUACCACAAGGUGCUGGCUAUCAAGUGUUUGAAGAUACCCUAAACUUAACCUAACAUAACCUAUCAAAACCCAAUACAGUUACGUACUAUAGGUCUUGAUUCAGAAAACUCAUAUAUGCUUCCUUACUAAUGAGACUUUCUAUACAACAAAGUGAGGUCAUUCUUUGUUGAUAUAUACCAUAAGGUGCUGGCUAUCAAGUGUUUGAAGAUACCCUAAACUUAACCUAACAUAACCUACCAAAACCUAAUACAGUUACUAUAGGUCUUGACUCAGAAAACUUAUAUAUGCUACCUUACUAAUGAGACUUUCUAUACAACAAAGUGAGGUCAUUCUUUGUUGAUUUAUACCAUAAGGUGCUGGCUAUCAAGUGUUUGAAAAUACCCUAAACUUAACCUAAC